UUGCACGGGGGGACUCCUACGGGAGGCAGCAGUGGGGAAUAUUGCACAAUGGGCGCAAGCCUGAUGCAGCCAUGCCGCGUGUAUGAAGAAGGCCUUCGGGUUGUAAAGUACUUUCAGCGGGGAGGAAGGCGGGAGGUUAUGAACCUCAGGGAUGCACAGGCAGCGCCAGCGGCCACCAACCAGAAAUACGCGGGG
rnacentral:rRNA from 1 species